GAUGAACGCUAGCGGCAGGCUUAAUACAUGCAAGUCGAGGGGCAGCAUGAAUGUAGCAAUACAUCUGAUGGCGACCGGCAAACGGGUGCGGAACACGUACACAACCUUCCUAUAAGUGGGGAAUAGCCCAGAGAAAUUUGGAUUAAUACCCCGUAACAUAAUGAUGUGGCAUCACAUUAUUAUUAUAGCUACGGCGCUUGUUGAUGGGUGUGCGGCUGAUUAGAUAGUUGGCGGGGUAACGGCCCACCAAGUCUACGAUCAGUAGCUGAUGUGAGAGCAUGAUCAGCCAAACGGGCACUGAGAAACGGGCCCGACUCCUACGGGAGGCAGCAGUAAGGAAUAUUGGUCAAUGGACGCAAGUCUGAACCAGCCAUGCCGCGUGAAGGAUUGAGGUCCUCUGGAUUGUGAACUUCUUUUAUCUGGGACGAAAAAAGGCUAUUCUUAGUCACUUGACGGUACCAGAUGAAUAAGCACCGGCUAACUCCGUGCCAGCCGCCGCAGUAAGAC
rnacentral:rRNA from 1 species